UCUCCUUGUUGGCCUCGAACUUGCGAUCUCCUGCCCCAGCCUCCCGAGUCGCUGGGAUUACUGGCCGCGCGGGCGCCCCGCGCUCAGGGAGCCUCUUCGAAUUAGCCAAUGAGAAGCGCACCGUCCCCGGUCGCCUGGGAAACCGCGUGACAACAAGAUGGCGGCGCCGGGACGGCUCGCCGGCCCUGCGUGGGAGUUACUGACAGCUAGGAUCUAGACUAGAACUAUGAGCUCACCUCUGGCCUCCCUUAGCAAGACCCGGAAAGUGCCCCUGCAGUCGGAACCUGUGGAUCCUGGAAGGCGAGGGAUAAGAAUCUAUGGAGAUGAAGAUGAGGUGGAUAUGCCGAACGAUGGGCCUGGCUCUGAAGAACAGAUCUCUGUCCCUUCCUGCUACAGCAACAAAUUUGCUUCUGUGAGUGGGCCAGGUCCCCCAUACCAUGACUCAGAUCUGGCGAGGAAGAUGCAACAACUGGAGCAGCAGGUGAAAGCCCAGAGUGAUGAGCUGGUGUCCAAGGAUCAGAAGAUCCUGGCCCUGGAGGACCUGGUGCAGCGCCUGCAGCAGAACCAGGGUGAGGUAAGUGGGCAGCGGCAGGAGGAGCUGCAGACCAUGUGCACGCAGCUGCAGCGGCAGGUCGGGGAGAUGGAGCGGUUCCUCAACGACUACGGCCUGCAGUGGGUGGGUGAGCCUAUGGACCAGGAGGAUUCGGAGGACAAGACGGUCUCAGAGGAGGAAAAGAGGGACUGGAUGACCGCCAAGAAGUUCUGGAAGCCAGGGGAUUCACUAGUGCCCCCUGAGGUGGACUUUGAUAGGCUGCUGGCCAGCCUGCAGGAUCUCAGUGAGCUGGUGGUAGAGGGUGACACCCAGGUGACGCCAGUGCCUGGUGGGGCAUGGCUCCAUUCCCUUGAGCCCAUCCCGCUGAAGCUCUACAGGAAUGGCAUCAUGAUGUUUGAUGGGCCCUUCCGGCCCUUCUACGAUCCCUCCACACAGCGCUGUCUCCGGGACAUACUGGAUGGCUUCUUCCCUUCAGAACUCCAGCGACUCUACCCUGAUGGGGUUCCCUUUAAGGUAAGUGACCUGCGCAAUCAGGUCUACCCUGAGGAAGGGCUGGGCCCAUUCCCAGGUGAGGGCCGUGUGGUAGGCCGACCAAAGGUGCGCAAGGCUUCGGACAGAGUGGAGGAGUACCCAGGCUCCAGGAUGACUGCUGAGAAAUUUCUGAACAGGCUUCCCAAGGUUGUGAUCCGACAAGGCCAGGUGAUUGACAUCCGGGGUCCCAUCAGGGACACCUUGCAGGUGAGGCUGGCCCUAAUUCCACAACCCUCUUGGGGGCUCUUUACCACCAACCCUGGCCCAGCUUGCCAGAGCAGUGUCUUGCCUGGAGGCUCAGGCUUCUGGACCCUGGGGGACGGCCAGGAUGGUGGGUCCCUCAGCGCUGUGCAGUGGUCUCUGGAAACUACAGAGCUGCUGAAGGCUCUGCACUGGGUCCCAGAGAGCAGCCAGACUGGCUCUAAGGGGCUAAAUAAAGGCUGGGGGUGAGCCACGAUGCAGUCCUGGUAUCCCUUCCUGGUUGUCCCUGGCCCCCACAGAACUGGUUAUCUCUUCUCUUCAUCCCAUCCUGCUGCUCUCUCUCAACUUCUCAGAGCAUUGCUAAGUCCUGUCUGGUCUGGCCAUCCCUAGAACUCUCUCCAUCCCCACUGCCCACCACCCUAGGUUCUGGUGUGUCUCCCACACAAUGCAACCUCCUCUGGCCAGUCUCCUGCCUCCAUUCCCUGCCCCUGCCAGCCAUCCUUCCCUCAUAGCCUUCCCUAUUGCAGUCUUCCAAGGAUUCUCAGAGCCAAGUCCUUUAUCCUGGCACUCAAGGCCUGUCCUGCACCACUGGGCCCCUCCCAGCUUCUCUAACUUCCUCUUUCUUCCAGUCCAACCUGAUUCCCGGCUUCAGCUGUGAACUGCUGGCAAUGUCCCAAAUAUAUCACCUCCUCUAGGAGGCUUUCCCUGAUCUUAGGUGAUCGGUGUCCCUGCUGUUGGGAACAUCCCUGUCCUCAUUCCACUUAUAAGGACUCCUACUCAUUCUGCAGUCUCAGCUCAGGUGUCAUUUCCCUCAGGAAGCCUUCCCUGACCCCAAGGUGGGUUAGAAAUCUAGCCUGGUCAUCGUCUUUGUGGGCUUUUGCCUCCCAUUUGACUGAUGGGGAGGCUUCUUGAGGGAAAUGAUGGGCUGCCUCCCAGAGCCUUCUUUCCUUUCCCUCUCCUCUCUUGGGCCUCAGUUUACACGAACACCUUCACCCCUGCUCAAGGAUGAGUCAGUCCCUUCCAAGGGUUGGAUGACUCAGGCAAGGCCUAGGGCUCUCUCUGUCCCCUCUCCAUUGAUGCCUUCCAGAACUACUGCCCACUACCUGCCCGGAUCCAGGAGACCAUAGUGGAGACGCCUGCCUUGGUGGCUGAGCGGGAAAGGCUUAGACAAGAAAGGGUGGCCACAGAAAGCGAGGACCACACCCUCCAGGAGCCAGAUU